rnacentral:ncRNA from 1 species
CAACAAGAAUUGCGGGGAAGUCCUAAAGCCUCAGGGUACUAACCUGCUGUAGGAAUGCAGCAGGGGCCUGUGUUAAUCGCACAGGGUAUAGUAACAACCCCGGAGGAUCUAGCCAGGUGUGCUAGAAUGGACGAUCCGCAGCGAAGCCCCUAGACCAGGGGAACGUUCACAGACUAAGUGGUUGUGGGUAGGAGGGACUCCUGCUUAAGAUAUAGUCGGGCCGGCGCGGAAACGCGCUGGGGAUUCGCAAGAACGUAAACCGCUCCGUAGGUGAACCUGCGGAGGGAUC